UACGAAGGGGGCUAGCGUUGCUCGGAAUCACUGGGCGUAAAGCGCACGUAGGCGGAUUGCUAAGUCAGGGGUGAAAUCCUGGAGCUCAACUCCAGAACUGCCUUGAUACUGGCGAUCUCGAGUUCGGGAGAGGUGAGUGGAACUGCGAGUGUAGAGGUGAAAUUCGUAGAUAUUCGCAAGAACACCAGUGGCGAAGGCGGCUCACUGGCCCGAUACUGACGCUGAGGUGCGAAAGCGUGGGGAGCAAACAGG
rnacentral:rRNA from 1 species